AUUCCAGGGAAGAACAUAUAUACUAAAAUUAGAAUGAUACAGAGAAGAUUAGCAUGGCCCCUGCACAAGGAUGACACACAAAUUUGUGAAGCGUUCCAGGUACCA
ensembl:snRNA U6 U6 spliceosomal RNA